GACGAAGGAUGCAAGCGUUAUCCGGAUUCAUUGGGUUUAAAGGGAGCGUAGGCGGACUUGUAAGUCAGUGGUGAAAUCUGUGGGCUUAACCCACAAACUGCCAUUGAUACUGCAGGUCUAGAGUACAGUUGCCGUUGGCGGAAUAUGACAUGUAGUGGUGAAAUACUUAGAUAUGUCAUAGAACACCGAUUGCGAAGGCAGCUAACGAAGCUGUAACUGACGCUGAGGCUCGAAAAGUGCGGGGAUCAAACAGG
rnacentral:rRNA from 1 species